AUUGAACGCUGGCGGCAGGCCUAACACAUGCAAGUCGAACGAGUGGCGGACGGGUGAGUAAUGUCUGGGAAACUGCCCGAUGGAGGGGGAUAACUACUGGAAACGGUAGCUAAUACCGCAUACCAUCGGAUGUGCCCAGAUGGGAUUAGCUGGGAGGUGGGGUAAUGGCUCACCUAGGCGACGAUCCCUAGCUGGUCCGAGAGGAGAACACCCCCCACUGGAACUGAGACAGGGUCCAGACGCGACCAUAAUCACCACAUAAUAAAUAUUGCACAAUGAGCGCAAGCCUGAUACAGACAGGCCGGGUGUAUGAAGAGUUCUUUCGGGUUUUAAAGUACUUUCAGCGAGGAGGCGUUACUCGCAGAAGAAGCACCGGCUAACUCCGUGCCAGCAGCCGCGGUAAUAC
rnacentral:rRNA from 1 species